AGUGAACGCUGGCGGCAGGCCUAACACAUGCAAGUCGAGCGGCAGCGCGUCCGACCACCCUCGGGUGGUCGGAUGGCGGCGAGCGGCGGACGGGUGAGGAAUGCAUCGGAAUCUGCCUCGUUGUGGGGGAUAACGUAGGGAAACUUACGCUAAUACCGCAUACGACCUACGGGUGAAAGUGGGGGACCUUCGGGCCUCACGCGAUGAGAUGAGCCGAUGCCGGAUUAGCUAGUUGGCGGGGUAAAGGCCCACCAAGGCGACGAUCCGUAGCUGGUCUGAGAGGAUGAUCAGCCACACUGGAACUGAGACACGGUCCAGACUCCUACGGGAGGCAGCAGUGGGGAAUAUUGGACAAUGGGGGGCAACCCUGAUCCAGCCAUGCCGCGUGUGUGAAGAAGGCCUUC
rnacentral:rRNA from 1 species